rnacentral:rRNA from 1 species
UGGGGAAUAUUGCACAAUGGGCGAAAGCCUGAUGCAGCAACGCCGCGUGAGCGAUGAAGGCCUUCGGGUCGUAAAGCUCUGUCCUCAAGGAAGAUAAUGACGGUACUUGAGGAGGAAGCCCCGGCUAACUACGUGCCAGCAGCCGCGGUAAUACGUAGGGGGCUAGCGUUAUCCGGAAUUACUGGGCGUAAAGGGUGCGUAGGUGGUUUCUUAAGUCAGAGGUGAAAGGCUACGGCUCAACCGUAGUAAGCCUUUGAAACUGGGAAACUUGAGUGCAGGAGAGGAGAGUGGAAUUCCUAGUGUAGCGGUGAAAUGCGUAGAUAUUAGGAGGAACACCAGUUGCGAAGGCGGCUCUCUGGACUGUAACUGACACUGAGGCACGAAAGCGUGGGGAGCAAAC